rnacentral:rRNA from 1 species
AUUGAACGCUGGCGGCAUGCCUUACACAUGCAAGUCGAACGGCAGCACGGGUGCUUGCACCUGGUGGCGAGUGGCGAACGGGUGAGUAAUACAUCGGAACAUGUCCUGUAGUGGGGGAUAGCCCGGCGAAAGCCGGAUUAAUACCGCAUACGAUCUACGGAUGAAAGCGGGGGACUUUCGGGCCUCGCGCUAUCGGGUUGGCCGAUGGCUGAUUAGCUAGUUGGGGGGGUAAAGGCCUACCAAGGCGACGAUCAGUAGCUGGUCUGAGAGGACGACCAGCCACACUGGGACUGAGACACGGCCCAGACUCCUACGGGAGGCAGCAGUGGGGAAUGUUGGACAAUGGGCGAAAGCCUGAUCCAGCAAUGCCGCGUGUGUGAAGAAGGCCUUCGGGUUGUAAAGCACUUUUGUCCGGAAAGAAAUCCUUGGCCCUAAUACGGUCGGGGGAUGACGGUACCGGAAGAAUAAGCACCGGCUAACUACGUG